GUCGCAUGCUCCCGGCCGCCAUGGCGGCCGCGGGAAUUCGAUUCGUAUUACCGCGGCUGCUGGCACGGAGUUAGCCAGAGCUUAUUCUCCCGGUACUGUCAUUAUCAUCCCGGGUAAAAGAGCUUUACAACCCUAAGGCCUUCAUCACUCACGCGGCAUUGCUGGAUCAGGCUUUCGCCCAUUGUCCAAUAUUCCCCACUGCUGCCUCCCGUAGGAGUCUGGGCCGUGUCUCAGUCCCAGUGUGGCUGGUCAUCCUCUCAGACCAGCUACGGAUCGUCGCCUUGGUAGGCUUUUACCCCACCAACUAGCUAAUCCGACGUAGGCUCACCCCAGAGCGCAAGGCCUUUCGGUCCCCUGCUUUUGAUCUCUCGAUAUCAUGUGGUAUUAGCCCGAGUUUCCUCGGGUUAUCCCACGCUCCAGGACAGAUUCCUACGUGUUACUCACCCGUCCGCCACUCGCCACCCCAUAAAGACCGAAAUCUUUACUGUGCUGCCGUUCGACUUGCAUGUGUUAGGCAUGCCGCCAGCGUUCAAUCUGAGCCAUGAUCAAACUCUAAUCACUAGUGAAUUCGCGGCCGCCUGCAGGUCGACCAUAUGGGAGAGCUCCCAA
rnacentral:rRNA from 1 species